UACGUAGGGCGCAAGCGUUGUCCGGAAUUAUUGGGCGUAAAGAGCUCGUAGGCGGUCUGUUACGUCCGCUGUGAAAACCCAGGGCUUAACCCUGGGCUUGCAGUGGAUACGGGCAGACUAGAGGCAGGUAGGGGAGAAUGGAAUUCCCGGUGUAGCGGUGAAAUGCGCAGAUAUCGGGAGGAACACCGGUGGCGAAGGCGGUUCUCUGGGUCCGUGACCUGACGCUGAGGUGCGAAAGCGUGGGGAGCGAAACAGG
rnacentral:rRNA from 1 species